CAGCCCAGUGAGCAGGCGAAGAGUGCGACUGCGUCUGCACGCACUGAACAGCUGAGCAAGGCGAAGAGACGCAACGCGCUGUGUCAGAAGCAAAACUGUGCAGCUGCACUGCCUCAGUCAUAUUACUUGAUGCCACGCCCCCUCUGAGCGCCACUCAUAUCCCAGCAAGGACGAAGACUACGAUGGUCACAAAGUGUCCUCAGCAGCAAAAAAUGCGAAAGCUACUAUGCGACUAGUUGAGCUGUCCACGCCCAAAAGAAUCACCAAGAAAAAACUCG